rnacentral:rRNA from 1 species
CAGUCGCCGCGGUAAUACGUAGGUGGCAAGCGUUGUCCGGAAUUAUUGGGCGUAAAGGGCUCGCAGGCGGUUUCUUAAGUCUGAUGUGAAAGCCCCCGGCCCAACCGGGGAGGGUCAUUGGAAACUGGGAAACUUGAGUGCAGAAGAGGAGAGUGGAAUUCCACGUGUAGCGGUGAAAUGCGUAGAGAUGUGGAGGAACACCGGUGGCGAAGGCGACUCUCUGGUCUGUAACUGACGCUGAGGAGCGAAAGCGUGGGGAGCGAACAGGAUUAGAUACCCCAGUAGUCCCUGUCUCUUAUAC